rnacentral:tRNA from 1 species
UCAGUUGCUGGCCUAUCAGACGUCGACGUCGACUUUUCAGGGAAGUUGGGCCCAGCCGCAGCUGGCCGGCGCGAUCGCCGUGCGCGCGGCCGAG